rnacentral:lncRNA from 1 species
CUGAGCUGUUCCCCAGGGUGACAUCCUCAUGAUAAAAUCGGUACAGGAUCGGGGGAGAGCCUCUCAGGGACUCACAGUGAAGCUCCAGCAGGUCCCCCACCACAGUGUGGGCCCUGGGAGCCCUGAAGGAGACCUUAGUGGCUGACAGAGAACCUAAACCCUGGCUUGCAACUCGAGGCUGUGUGAAAGGAAUCGGAACUUACUUCUCACGGUGACUCGAAUCCACGUGCUGAGGAUGGGGCUGUGAACGUUAUCAGCUGCACAGUAGUAUCUCCCUGCAUCACUCUCCUUCACGGUGAGAACAUGCAGCUCUGCCAACAGGGAACGCUGGGUCUUUCUACCCAGGCUUCUUACUCUUCCUUCUUUGUGCCAGGAGAAUGUGACAGUCCCUGAACCCUGGGCUACUGAGCAAAUAAGGACCAUAUUUUCUCCUUCAAUCAGCUGCCCUCCGGUGGGCCGGAUCUCUAGAUUCACAUUAGACACAGGGACUCCUGGGGGAACACAAGAUGGCAUGUGAAGGUCCUGAUGGCAGGGACAUCAAGGUCAAGGGGAAGGCUGGAGCUACCAUGAAUAGGCCAAUAGCAGCAGGUGCAGCAGGCAGAAGCCCAAAGUAGGAAAUAAGAAAUUAAUUGUGUAUACGAUUAUAAAGGAAGCAACAUCCCUCUCACUCCCACAACAUUCCCAUCCUUGAGAAAUGUGGGCACCAAGUCCAUAAUCUCCAUAAAUCCAAUGUUUUCUGGUCACAUUUUAUAUGCAUUUAUCUCUAAGGAAUCUUUGAUGCAUCAAU